CCCUGGUUAGCGCAAUUGGUAGAGCGCUCCACCUAUAAUGGAGAGGUUCCGGGUUUGAUACCCGGACCAGGCG
rfam:Ixodes scapularis strain Wikel colony gcontig_1108379183496, whole genome shotgun sequence.